GAAGGUAUAGUUCAGUGGUAGAGCACGUGCUUAUCGUGCAGGAGGUCCUGGGUUCAAUCCUCAGUACCUCCA